rnacentral:tRNA from 1 species
AAGAGUGUAGUGCAACUGGUAGCACAGUGAUCUCCAAAAUCAUUAGUAGGUGUUCAAAUCACCUCACUCUUG